GAGAACGCAGAGCAACUUUCACUUGACUGCAGUGUUUCUUCAAUCGGGUGCCAGUGAUGGAACUGAGAUUUGUGAGACAAAAUCCAAUCCAGCCAUCUCCCUGAGCAGUUUGAGGUUAACAUUCUUGUUCAAGGGCCUGCGCUGCCUCUCUACAGUCCUGAGUUUGGAACUCACAACCAGUUAUUAGGAUCAAAUGAGAUCAGCAGAUGAACUGCAUGGACUCCGGAGUGACUCUGGCGAAUAUGCCAGUCACAUACACAUCAAAGAGUGGAUAGGCUGCCAUUAGAGAAAGCAAUGGUCUCAUUGGCCUUUACAUUAGCAGAAAGAGAAGAAGUGGCUGAAGAAACCCAGCACAGGCAACUUUGAUAGAGCAGAAUGACACAUUCAGGUAUAGUAUGAGUUAGAACAUAGUAAACAUUUGACAAACUCUAUCUGUCCAUCAAUCCAUUUUCCAUACCACUUAUCCUACACAGGGUUGCAGGAGAGACUGGAGUCUAUUCCAGGGAACUCAGGGCACAAGGCGGGGGACACCCUGGAUGUGGUGCCAAUCCAUCACAGGGCACAAUCGCACAGCCAUUCACAUACUACGGACAAUUUGGAAAUGCCAGUCUGCCUACAACACAUGAGUACCUGGAGGAAACCCCUGGAGCAUGGGGAGAACAUGCAAACUCCACACAUACAGAGCAAAGGCAGGAUAUGAACCCCCAACCCCGGAGGUGUGAGGUUCUCAAACUGGAUAAGGGAAUGUCACCUUAAGCUCAACUUGGCAAAAAACGGAACUUCUCGUCAUCCCACAACCUCACUGUACAGAUAGGCUCAACCACACUCAAGCUAACCAGGACAGCCAGAAACCUUGGGGUGACUUUCGAUGACAACUUGACCUUUACAGACCGCAUUUCAACAACUGCAUGAUCCUGUAGGUUAAUUCUGUACAACAUCAAGAAAAUCAGACCCUAUCUCACUGAACAGGCUACACAGGCUCUUGUUAUCUCAAAAGUGGACUACUGCAAUGCUCUACUCCCAGGCCUCCUAGCCAGCUCCAUCAAACCCCUUCGGAUGAUUCAGAAUGCAUCAGCAUAGCUUGUUUUCAACCAGCCCAAAAGGACCCAUGUCUUUUCAUCUCCCUCCACUGGCUUCCUGUAGCUGCCCACAUUAAAUUCAAGGCCUUGAUGCUCAUGUACAAGACCUUGUCUGGAACAGCACCUCCCUACCUCAAUACUCUCUUUGAGGUUUAUGCUCCCUCAUGCAACCUGCGAUCAGUUAAUGACAGACGCCUGGUAGUGCCUGCUCAGCGAGGCAUGAGGUCCCUUUCCAGAACCUUCAAAUUGACUGUCCUUCAGUGGUGAAAUGAACUUCCCACCUCAAUCCAGACAGCAGAAUCCAUCACCAUCUUCAAAAAACAGCUAAAGACCCACCUCUUCGGUGAACACUUAACUAACCCCUUGAAUAUUUCAGAAGUUUUUAAUUGUGAUGUGAACAUUAACAAAUUGCUUUGUAUCUGUCAGAACAAUCUCUUACACUUGCAAUGACUUAAUGAUCCUCAUUCAUUCAUCUAUCGUAACUGCUUUAUCCUGGUGAGUAUUGUGGACUAUUCGGAGCCUCACCCAGGAACACUAUUUGCGAGGAGGGAAUACACUCUGGAUGGGGACGCCAGGCCCAGACACAUUCACACACUCAUUCAGUAACCUGAGCUCAGGAUCGAACCAGGGACCCUAACACCAUGAAGCAGCAAUGCUGCCUGCUGCACCACCAUAAUUUAUAAUCAAUAAUAAUCAAGCUCAUUUAAUUCUAAGCAUAGUCAGUUAGGAAUACUUCCAUGUGUAUCCAGUGUAAUAUGAGAGUCUUUUGUAGUAUGUAACUUAAUUUUGAAAGAUAUAUUUAUAAGAAGCAACCCAAUUAAAUGAGAUGCAUGUCAAGCUUUUAUUCCAUACAAUCUGCUUUUUAAAGUUGUUCCAUAUGAUUUUCAUAUUAAUAAUAUUAUUAGGAACGUAAGUAUGUAAGAUACAGCCAUGAUGCAUCUCAAAACUGAAUUAGUCCUGCUAAUAUUAUAUAUUAAUUUCCAAUGAGGCUAAAUAUAAGCAGAGUGCCAAAUCAUAGUUCAUGAUCAUCUUGUGCUAUGUUACUUUUGUAAAUUCUAAUAUGGAUGAUGGCUGUAAUUUUAAACAGCCUUGUUUAUUGGCAUCCUGAAUCUCUUCAAUAUAACACCUAGGUUUUGACUGAAUGAUUUGCAAGUCUCAUACAUGUAUUUUAGCAAAGUUUCCCCAGAAUUCUUGUUAAA